GAUGAACGCUGGCGGCGUGCCUAAUACAUGCAAGUCGAGCGAACAGAUAAGGAGCUUGCUCCUUUGACGUUAGCGGCGGACGGGUGAGUAACACGUGGAUAACCUACCUAUAAGACUGGGAUAACUUCGGGAAACCGGCGCUAAUACCGGAUAACAUAUUGAACCGCAUGGUUCAAUAGUGAAAGGCGGCUUUGCUGUCUCUUAUAGAUGGAUCCGCGCCGUAUUAGCCAGUUGGUAAGGUAACGGCUUACCAAGGCAACGAUCCGUAGCCGACCUGAGAGGGUGAUCGGCCACACUGGAACUGAGACACGGUCCAGACUCCUACGGGAGGCAGCAGUAGGGAAUCUGCCGCAAUGGGCGAAAGCCUGACGGAGCAACGCCGCGUGAGUGAUGAAGGUCUUCGGAUCGUAAAACUCUGUUAUCAGGGAAGAACAAAUGUGUAAGUAACUGUGCACAUCUUGACGGUACCUGAUCAGAAAGCCACGGCUAACUACGUG
rnacentral:rRNA from 1 species